CCUACGGGAGGCAGCAGUGGGGAAUAUUGGACAAUGGGGGCAACCCUGAUCCAGCCAUGCCGCGUGUGUGAAGAAGGCCCUCGGGUUGUAAAGCACUUUCAGUGAGGAAGAACGCCUGGUGGUUAAUACCCAUCAGGAAAGACAUCACUCACAGAAGAAGCACCGACUAACUCCGUGCCAGCAGCCGCGGUAAUACGGAGGGUGCGAGCGUUAAUCGGAAUUACUGGGCGUAAAGCGCGCGUAGGUGGCUUGAUAAGCCGGUUGUGAAAGCCCCGGGCUCAACCUGGGAACGGCAUCCGGAACUGUCAAGCUAGAGUGCAGGAGAGGAAGGUAGAAUUCCCGGUGUAGCGGUGAAAUGCGUAGAGAUCGGGAGGAAUACCAGUGGCGAAGGCGGCCUUCUGGACUGACACUGACACUGAGGUGCGAAAGCGUGGGUAGCAAACAGGAUUAGAUACCCUGGUAGUC
rnacentral:rRNA from 1 species